UGAAAAAGUAUGUUCAGGUAAAUGAUGUAAAUGAAGUGAGAGUGAGUUUGCAUUGUGUUGUCAUGCUUCAGUGAUGUGUGAGUGUUUAUAGUGCUGUGAGUUUAACACUUCAUGACUGAGAUCAGAACAGAACAGAAUCUUCAUCAUCACACAAACCAAAAGAACAACAAUGACUUUCAUCAUCAUCUUCAUCUGGACUCUUUCAGUUUUUAUUCUGGAAUCGAGAGGAGUAACUCUGACUCAACCUAAAGAAAAAAGUGUUCAACAAGGACAAACAGCUACAAUAGAGUGUCAUAUAGAUGUAGGAAUAUAUAGCGACCGUUUAGCCUGGUACUUACAGAGACCUGGAGAAACUCCUAAACUCCUCAUAUAUUAUAUAAAUACUCGUCAGUCAGGAACUCCAUCAAGAUUCAGUGGCAGUGGAACAGCAAACACUGGAAAAGAUUUCACUUUGACCAUCAGUGGAGUUCAGACUGAAGAUUCAGGAGAUUAUUACUGUCAGAGUUUACAUUAUAUCAGCAGUAGCUAUGUGUACACACAGUGA